GACGAACGCUGGCGGCGUGCCUAAUACAUGCAAGUAGAACGCUGAAGCGAGGAGCUUGCUCUUCUUGGAUGAGUUGCGAACGGGUGAGUAACGCGUAGGUAACCUGCCUUGUAGCGGGGGAUAACUAUUGGAAACGAUAGCUAAUACCGCAUAACAAUGGAUGACACAUGUCAUUUAUUUGAAAGGGGCAAUUGUUCCACUACAAGAUGGACCUGCGUUGUAUUAGCUAGUAGGUGAGGUAAUGGCUCACCUAGGCGACGAUACAUAGCCGACCUGGGAGGGUGAUCGGCCACACUGGGACUGAGACACGGCCCAGACUCCUACGGGAGGCAGCAGUAGGGAAUCUUCGGCAAUGGGGGCAACCCUGACCGAGCAACGCCGCGGGAGGGAAGAAGGGUUUCGGAUCGUAAAGCUCUGUUGUAAGUCAAGAACGGGUGUGAGAGUGGAAAGUUCACACUGUGACGGUAGCUUACCAGAAAGGGACGGCUAACUACGUG
rnacentral:rRNA from 1 species